AUCCAGCUGACGAGUCCCAAAUAGGACGAAAUGCGCGUCAUGGAU
rfam:Schistosoma mansoni strain Puerto Rico chromosome 3, complete genome